CAAACAGUGUUAAAACCAUCAAGAGCAAGCGAUACUAGUAAAAGCAUACAAGUAUACAAAAGAGAGAAACUUAACUAUUGAACCAUGAAUUUAAAGCAUUUAAAUACCACUUGCAUUAAACUCUUUAAACCAUCAUACAUUAUUUUUCAAUCUUUUCCAAAAAGUAAAUACAUCAAGUACUCUCCAAAACCUCACUCUAUACAACAUCUACUCUCAAAAUAAAAGCACAGGGUGAACUAAUGCAAGUAGGAAAGUAAGCUACCAACUGGUACCACUAGGGCGCCAAGCCCUUGCCGCGAUCCUCCCGCUCGGUCGGGACACUCGAACUAGCGCCUGCAACAACGGGUGUGAGAACUACGAAUAGUUCCCAGUGGGUUCGGCCGCCGACUCCACCGAUCUACCCACUAGGUCGAAGCAGGCAUAGAGAGAUAUAUGCAAUAUAUAUAUAUAUAUAUAUAUAUAGCUAAACUGAUAAAAGUAGGUAUGAUAACUGAGCAAGUAAGUAGAAUCAUGAAUAUCUAGCUAUGCCUCAAUCUGAUAUCAUGCAUGCAUGAACAAUAAAUAAAGCUGGGUAGUAAGCUACUAUGAACAACAAUAANGCUCGGUUUCUCGGUUGCGCAGUGCUUGUACCGGUACAAGCCCACCUUGUUCCGGUACAAGGCCUGGCAGCCCCCCAAACCGAAAGCUCGGUUUCUCGGUUGCGCAGUGCUUGUACCCGUACAAGCACCCUUGUUCCGGUACAAGGCCUGGCAGCCCCCCAAACCGAAAGCUCGCGAUGGUUGUACCGGUACAACCAUCACUCUUGUACCGGUACAACAGCUCCAGAAUGCUGUUUUCACAUCUCUUUGGCUCUAUUUCGCGCCGUUUGAUGUCAAAACCAAUCUAACACCUUUGGAACUCAUUUUAGCUCUUCCAAACUUGUUGGAAUAUCGAAUGGAACUCGUCCAAACUGUUCAAUUGCCCACUUUGGUCCAUUUGGCCAAAGUUAGCCACAAACCAUCAAGUUUCAAUAUCUCACAUCUAAACACUUUUACUCAAGUAUAAUUUCACCACAAACUAUUAGUCUACAUACCUAAGUAGACGAGCAUCACGAACAUGUGUUUGCCUCACCAGUCUUGUAAUCUUAGCUUCCUUCAUCUUCAACUCUUCAAGACUCCAUUCGACUUCACGAAAUCUGCCAACUUAGAAAAAUUCUUAACAAUCUCCCUCUUUGGCGAUUUCGUGACAAAACUCAAUGCUCAUACAAACUCAAAAGAGGAAAGUGGAAGAUUAUUGCAAUCACCAAACGACAAUUUCCUGCAUGAUCGAUCCAACAAAGAAAAAUUACAUUUUACUCAUCCUAGACAAACUCUAUGACUUAGACAAGAUGUGGAGUCUUGAAGUCUUGAGAAUCCUGCACAAAAUUCUCCACAAUACACACUCAAGAUAUGCAAUGAAUAAUCAUGACAGUCAUAGUUUCAUAGUUUUAGUUGCACUCAUCACGAAGAAGAAAAGCAAGCAAGUCAAGUAAACAAAAAGGAUAAAACACAUAAGCAAGCAUCAUCAAGCAUUAUCAUCAUCUCCCCCUUUUUGUCAGAAAACGCCAAAACGACAAAGAAGGGGCCACCCAAAAUAGCUAAUCUGAAUCUGCAUCCUGGGAAGGCAAAUCAGCACUGCAACACCCCAUUUUGUCAAAUAUAGCCUUCAGGAGUCUGGAGAUCUUGCUCAUCUUUCUUGUAAGCCGUGUUUGUUCAGAAACAAUGAGCUGAAGCUCGCCCGAAAUACGUUCCUGCUCAUUAGAGAGUCGCUGUUGCUCCCGAUAAACAGAAGAAACUGAGACAUCCUCUUCAAAUACCUCCUCAGAAGGCUGUGAAGGACCAGGAGCAACAGAAAGCGGAGAAGAGUGUUGCUGAACAGAAUGUCGUGGAGGAGAGCGACGAGAAGGUGAUUGAAGCUGAACAGCAGACUUUAUAAAAGUAGUCUCACUGAUAACCCCGAGACUAAACUCAUAAGAGCUGCAACGAGUAUCCACACCAAGAGCACGAAGAAUUCGCAUAAUAAUCAAGGGAUAUGGAAGACGUUCAUUGUAAUACACUGGAUCUUGCAAAUCGCAAGAUUCGAGUGUUUGAUCUGUGUGUGGGGCCUUCCCACAGUUUUUGGAGGGUCGUUGAUAGCGUUCCGACCCCUGGCACGCAUCCCGAGGAUGUUGGAGUGAGACUUGGCACCAAAAUUCUAAAAUUGGAAUUUUUGGUCAGCUCUCGGGUAGCCUGCAGCAGAGCUUGUACCGGAACAAGACUGGCCUNAUCAACUCACGAACAACAGCAACCUACCCUCUAAGGGUAAUCUCAUCAUGGAAUCAAGGUGUUCUUGUACCCAAUCUCAUAGUGUCUCAACUACACUAAGGUUCUCAUAUCAAAUUAUCGACAAUCAUACGUCCUUUACCAUAGUUUUCUAUAACUCGAUGCCACUUGUCAUAGUUUUCUAAACUAGAUGCCACUCGUCAUUUAGACUCAUUUCAACACUAGUUACAUCUUACUAGUUCUUUAGCAACAUAACAUUAAUCAUUUCAUAUAGGGUCUAGGUUUUCAUGCAUACUAGAUCAUGGAUAAAUCACAAGAUAUAAAGCUACUAGCAUGCAAAUAUAAGCAACAAUAUUCAUUUUCUAACCCUAUAUGUAACAUGAAUAAGAUGCAAUUAGAUCAAUGAUAAACUUGGACAUAGAACGUAGCCCCAUGGCUUCGGGAAGGUCACCACCCACUUUGUGGUAGUGCCGAGAAGCUAAGAAACUCAGCGUCGAAAUCCACGUGCGCCGCUUCAACACCUCGGGUCAAAACGAACCCUAGAGCAACCAAAAUGGCGAUAUCUCCACGCUCGCUCGACGGAUCGACGAACUGUCUUCGCCUACGCGUUCGGGAGCAUAACAAUUAGGUUUCCGACCCAUCAAAAUAGAUCAAAAUCCAAUAUUUCCAAAAAUCCCAAAAAACCAACCCUAGGUUUAGCACCCAUGGGAAACCAUGGUUUCUGGCUUCAUUGUGAGCUAGAUCCAUCUCCUCUAAACUCAUUAGGUUCCAUUUGAACCGAUAAAACCAACAAAAACUCACAAAACCCUAGAAUCUCACAAUUAGGGUUAAGGCUUACCUCUAGGGUUUGCUCCAAAGCAAGCCCUAGCUUGAGGAAGAGGAGGGAGUGAGCUUUUUUUCCUUCUCCUUGAUCUUCUCCUUCCUUCCCUUCUUCUUCUCUUUCUUUUCCUUUUUUUUCUUCUUCUUCUUCUUUUUCGGUUUAGAGAGAGAGAGCUAAGUGAGAGGGGGAGAGAGAGAGAGGCUAAGAGUGAGUGAGAGAGGCUAAGAGAGAGGUAUUAUAACCCUCUAAUGUAACAAAAUCCCAAAAGCCCCCUCAAAAAUCUAAUUUUCCAACUUGACCUGCAGUUUUGGGUCCCUUGUACCGGUACACGGAUUCUUGUACCGGUACAAGGCCUGGCAGACAGCCCAACCCGAGGCUCGGUUUCUCGGUUGCGCAGUGCUUGUACCGGUACAAGCCCACCUUGUUCCGGUACAAGGCCUGGCAGCCCCCCAAACCGAAAGCUCGGUUUCUCGGUUGCGCAGUUGUCACGCCCCGGGACCGAUGCCAAUUUGGCCCGACCCGAGCACGUCAAAGAGACGCCGAACGGACAGAGUUUCCCCUAUCCGCCCAAGGCUCAUCACACGUACAUUUUCAACAAUAGAGAAAAGCACUAGCGGAAACAUACACAAACGGCUUACACGAGGGUAAGCAAUAGCCAUUAGUGANACGACCUUAGUGUUCAUUGUCGGCAUGAUAUUAUAGUCCACAACGAAGUUGAGAAAGCGAUACUCCAAUUUCAAUUCUUUUGACAAGACCGAAUUUCCUGUGGACUGAGUAAUAGGCACACAGAUGCCAUUCACAAUAUGUCGCCAAUCACGAAGUGAGUCAAUGCAAGCAUGCAGAUAAUCGACCCCAUCAAUACGAGCUUCCAUGGCAAGAACCGAACCAAUCAAAUCCGGCGUAAUAGCCAAAGAGACUCCGCAAAUAGAGGUCUGGAAAACGCAUGGUCCACCAUCAGUAUCUUGGAGAUGUCCAGCACGCAUAUAGAACUCUCGAAUCAGUUCGAGACAAUAACCAGUCUGCUCAGGAAGUGAACAAAUAGACGCAAGAUCGCCAUUCAUAUAAAGAGAUUCAAACACUGGCGCUUGUUUAAUUAGUUGUGAAACACCCACAUCCCGCUCGCUAAUGCACACUCGGGAAGAAAACAUCGCCUGCCGUUUAGAAUCAACAGGAGGCUCACAACUCUCAACACCACUGGUCUUUUUCUUACUACGAGAGUACGUCAAUUUUUUUUCCUUUCCCAUUUCCUUUUCCUUUUCCUUUUCCUUUGUCUUUUUCUUUUUCCGAAGCUGCAGGUUCCUUACCCUUCUUCUUUGAUAACACUUCAGGAGUCAAAGCCGCCCAAUCAGUUGACUUAGUUUCAGAUUCAUUGCCUGGGGCAUAUUCGCUGCCCACAUCUUCAGCCGGUUGUUCAGGAGGUUGCGGAGCCGAGGAACGACGUUGCUUACUCCUACGGCCACCACCGGCCAUCAGAAACACAAGUACCAUCAACAUAGAAUACAUUGUGAAAGAACUCCCUGUUAACAAACCAGUAUUGAACCCAAUGAAGCAUUCGAAUAUCACUCUUUUAGACAUUUUCAAUAAAAAUUCAGAAAAAUUAUCUAGAAAAUUCUAGGGCCUCACGAAAUCAUGAACGAGCACAUUCCAGCACACAAUGAUGUCAAACAAUGUAAAUAGUCAGCCACAAAUCCAAACUUUUUUAGAAAUUGAUGUAUAAGGUUCGAAAUUUCAAGACGAAACACAAUCCGAGCCAAUACAUGAAACGAACCAUGGAAAAAUGCAAUAUGAUAUGCUCAAACACCUCGAGAUAAAAAAAAAAAACUAAGCAUAACACAAGAGUUCGGACAAGAUUUCUAGUAUAAUCACCAAAAAUCACAAAAAGAACACAUUUUCGGAAUAAGCAGUAGGAAAUAAACAAAAUUUGAAAAUCUUACUGAAAACGAGAUGAAAUCCAAGAAGAACGAAGGCAAAAACACUCCGGGAGGUCUAGGGUUCGAAGGAGAGGGUUUUUGAAAAGUUUUGGAAAAAAAUAAAGAUAGAUUGGCCGUAGUUGCAUAUAUGAGGUUAGGCGGAGAUCCGGACCUUCCAGCCAGGGUUCGGACCCUGUAGCUUGUAAAACCCUUUUUUUUUAUUUAUAUAAAAAAUGCCCAACUUCAGUAUUUAUAUGCGUGAAAUCCCAAUAACUUUUAAACUAAAAUUUCAAGAAUAUGUCAAACACAGUCAACUUCAGAUAACAUUAAAAAAUGUCAUAAAUUAAUUUGAACACCAAACCAGGUAAUGCCUAAAUGGGCAUACUGUUCAAUUUAACACAUCAAACAAGAUCUAAAAAUGAAUUGUAUCUUUUUAUCAUCAAAUCUGCUAAAAUAAUGAAUAAAAGAAUCCCAAAACUUGAAGUCAAAAUAAUAUUGGCAAAUUGAGUUAUGCACAAAGUUUAAAGAAGGGAGUGGCUCUUUGAGCAUCUUUCAAUAAUCCACCUUAUAUCGCCUCAGAGAUGUAAUUACGAUAUACUUGUUUUUUUUUUUUUACCAUCUCCGAAACAUCUCCAUAUAUACAAUUUUUUUUUUCAAUAUUUUUUUUUUAUUUAGAGAUGUAAAAACAUGUGGUAGCUGCACACACUGACCGAACGACCGGGGAGGUAGCUCUUUCCUACAUGUGGUGGUAGUUUUCACACUCCCUGAAGGGAUGUAACUCUUUCCACAUCUUCAAAAUUUUAAUGGCAAGUACCAGAAAGACUCCCCCUAAAUAAGUGCAACCCCCAAGUCGACAAUAGUAUGAAGAAUUCAAGAAAUAGAAAAACCGUUAUUCAUACCGUAGCAAAUAAUCAAACAAAACUGAAACAAUACUUAAAGUUCAAGGCAAGAGGUGUCGAAUUUAACAAGAAUACCCAAGCAGAAUUUAACGAGUUAAGUCGUUCAAUAACUAUGACAUUUAGGAAUAUAAUUGAAGGUGACUAAGUUAAAACUCAUCAUGAAUCAAUCAAAGUCAUAUCAUAGGAUUCACAAAGAGUGUGAAAUACAAUCAUGUAAAAACAAAUUUGGAAAAUGCAAUUAAGCAAAGUGAUUGUGCAUGUACUAUGGCCCAAAGAAUAUAUCUAGAUAAUAGGAUUCAAACCAAUAGUCUUUCGUAAAUGUAGAAAAUAUUUUUGAUCUAAAGGCUUUGUCAAAAUGUCAGCAAGUUGAUCAUCAGUAGAAAUAUAUUCGAGAUGAAGAACAUCAGAUUCAACUAAAUCUCUUAAAAAGUGAUAUCGCAGUUCAAUGUGUUUUGUUCUAGAGUGUAAAACAGGAUUUUUAGAAAUAUUUAUGGCACUUAUGUUAUCACAAAGAAUUAUAAGAGUGGUGGAGGGGAUCCGAUAGUCACUCAGUAAACUUUUUAUCCACAAUAAUUGAGUGGAGCAACUACCGGCCGCAAUAUAUUCAGCCUCAGCAAUGGAGAGUGCAAUGCAGUUCUGUUUCUUACUAUGCCAUGCAACAAGGCAAGGACCAAUAUAAAAACACGCUCCACUAGUACUUUUCCGAUCAUCCACAGAGCAAGCCCAAUCCGCAUCUGAGUAUCCAAUCAAAUCUAAAGAUAUUUCUAUUGGAUACCAAAUGCCAUAAGCGGUUGUACCUUUAACGUACCGAAUAAUCCUCUUAACUGCUUUCAGAUGAACUUCCUUAGGAUUAGCUUGAUAGCGAGCACAAAUUCCAACACUAAAAGCUAUAUCCAGUCUACUCGUAGUCAAGUACAGUAGACUCCCAAUCAUGCUCCGAUACUGUUUCUCAUCCACACUUUGUCCCUCAGCAUUUAGUCAUUGUCCUUUAUUACUUGUUCCCAUCGGAGUAUCAAAGUCCUUUGCUCUAUCUAGUCCAAAUUUCUUAACCAAUUCUUUCGUAUACUUCGUUUGGGAUAAAUGAAUUCCAUCCUUUGAUUGUUUAACUUGAAGUCCGAGAAAAUAAGUAAGCUCCCCUAUCAUUGACAUCUCAAAUUCACUUGUCAUCAGUUUUGCAAAUUCAGUGGCAUCUUUAUUUUUAGUUGCGCUAGAAACAAUGUCAUCAACGUAAAUUUGUGCCACAAUAAAAUCAUUUUUCGUGUGUUUCACAAAAGAAUUCUAUCCGCUCCCCCUCGGUUGUAGCCCUUUGUUAAAAGAUAUUUUGUUAAACGUUCUUACCAUGCUCUCGGAGCCUGUUUGAGUCCAUAAAGUGCCCUUUUCAAUCGAAAAACAUGAUCCGGAAAUUUUGAGUCUAUAAAACCUUUUGGUUGUUCAACAUAAACCUCUUCUUUUAAAAAUUCGUUUAAAAAUGCACUUUUAACAUCUAUUUGAAAAAGAGUAAUUUGAAAAUGACAGGCAAUUGCGAACAAAAUACGAAUUGAUUCAAGACGAGCAACUGGGGCGAAGGUUUCAUCAAAAUCAAUUCCCUCAACUUGUGAAUAGCCCUGAGCAACAAGUCUAGCCUUGUUUCGAAUGAUAGUACCAUCCUCAUUUUUCUUAUUUUUAAAAAUUCAUUUGGUACCAAUUAUAUGUUGUUGCUCAGGACGUGGCACUAAUUCCCAGACAUCAUUACGCGUGAAUUGACCAAGUUCUUCUUGCAUAGCAUUAAUCCAAUAUUCAUCAAGAAGAGCUUCGUCAAUAUUCUUUGGUUCAACUAAAGAAACAUAACAUGCAAAUUCACACUGAAGUUGUCUCCUAGUUUUCACACCAGUAAGAGGGUCUCCAAUAAUAUUUGAUAAUGGGUGAUCUUUCACGGGUGUAAGUUCAGAAGAAGUGCUAGGGGUUUCAGAUGAAUCAUGUGAUGCACUAGUUUCAACAGUUUCAGCAGAUUUAUCAAGAGCAGAAAUCUCAUCAUUCACAGGCAUAUUGAAUGGAGAAUCAUCAUCAUCAUUCAAAGUAAUAGAAGAAUCAUGCACAGACGAACUCACAGAAGAAGCUUCAUCUACUUUUAUGUUACUUGAUUCUAUCACCGUCUUAGUGCGCAAAUUGUACGCCCGAUACGCUCGACUAGUAGUAGAAUAACCAAGAAAGAUUCCUUCGUCACUCCGGGAGUCAAAUUUUCUAAGAUUUUCACGAUCCCGAAGGAUAAAACAUUUACUCCCGAAGACACGAAAGUAUUUAAUAUUCGAUUUUCUACCAAUCUACAAUUCAUACGGAGUAUUUAAAGUACCCGGGCGUAAAUAGAUGAGGUUAAUUAUAUAGACGGCCGUGUUAACUGCUUCAGCCCAGAAGUGUAGAGCAACUUUCUUGCUAUGAAGCAUAACACGUGCUAUCUCUUGAACAACCCGGUUUUUACGUGCAACUACUCCGUUUUGUUGUGGUGUAUAGGGAGCAGAGAAUUCAUGUUUGAUGCCUUUUGAAACACAGAAAUCAAUAAAUUUUGAAUUUAUAAAUUCUCCUCCUUGAUCACUUCGAAUGUGUACAAUUUUAUCAUUACGUUCAGUCAUAAGACGAAGACAGAUUUCAGAAAAAGAAUCAAAAGUAUCAGCUUUUUCUCUCAAGAAAGCACACAAAACAAAGCGAGUAAAAUCAUCAACAAUAAGCAGGAUAUAUCGUUUUCCACCCAAACUCUGAAUUCUAGAAGGUCCCAUCAAGUCCAUGUGAAGUAACUCUAAUGGUUUAGAUGUCCCUAAGUGGUUCAAAUUCUUAUGUGCGGAUCUAGUUUGUUUUCCCAAUUGACAACCCCCACACACAAUGUUCUCUUUGAAUUCUAUCUUAGAUACACCUCUAACUACCUCCUUCUUAGUUAUCUUAGAUAGUUCCUUAAAGUUCAUGUGACCUAGUCGUUCAUGCCAUAAAGUAUCAGUCUCUAAUGUCGCUAGGUUACAAUGUUCAGUUGAAGAACUAGGAACUACGUAACAAUUGUUCUGUGACCUAACACCUUUCAAGAAAGAAUCAUCAUCAAGAGUCACAGUGCAUUCUUUUGCAGAAAAAGUAACAGAGUACCCGUCAUCACACAAUUGACUUAUGCUUAUGAGAUUUGAUUUAAGCCCUUCAACAUAAAAAACAUCAUUCAAAAUAGGGCCAUCAGAGAUAGUGACUAUUCUUUUUCCAACAAUUUUUGAUGACCGACCAUCUCCGAAGACCACAAAUCCUUUGGAAAUUUCAUUUAAAGAAGUAAACCAAUUUUUAUCACCGGUCAUAUGUCGUGAACAACCACUAUCUAAAUACCAAGAUGAGGUAUCAUAAGUAUGAAGUGAAGUGUGCAUGACAAGGCAAGGAAAGAGUUCACGUUUGCGCACCCAAACCUUACGUGUUUUGGGUUGCGUCGGCUGACUUGAUUGUAACGUUCGUUGCUUGUCGACGAUUUGAUUUAUCCUCUUCUUGGGAUCAUCCUUUUUCCGUUUCCAUAUUUGCUUUGAAUUAGCCUUUAGAUCUUCCUUCUUCAAUUGUUCCAUUGGUCUUCGAUUCAUGAGUGUUGUAGUACUUUUCGACUUUUCUUUGCAAAAUCUUUUCACAUGACCUACAAUACCACAAAGAUGACAAGUUUUGUUAGCAAAAGAAUUCUUAGGAGGAACAAACUUACCAUAAACCUUCGGAACCGGUUUUGUCGAGUGUUCGUCUACUUUCUUCAUCACUUGAUCGACAUACGUCCGUUCGUAUCCAAGUCCGAAUUUGUUUGUUUGACCAAGUCCUAGCAUCUUGUCAAGUUCGCUAGAGCCAGACGAGAAUUGAUUUAAAUCCGAUUUGAAUUGAAUAAUCAUUUUGGUGAAUUCCAUAUUGGAUUCUCUAGCUUCCGUGUAUUGCUUGGUAAGGAAAUUGAUAUUUUCAACAUGAGACUCCUUUUCCUUUUCAAGCAAUGCACACUUGUCAAGUAAAGAAUUGUAACCCUUAGUAAAACCCUCUUUUUCUUGCUCAAGAUUUUUUGUCAACGACUCUAAUCUUGUAUUCUCUUGAUCCAGAUCAUACGAUCUACGCCGCAAUUUCUUGUUGUGUUUUGCCACUUUCUUUGAUUCAAUAACAAGUUGGUGAUAUGCGGUGGCCAUAUCAUCUUCAUCCGAUUCUUCAUUCGAUGAGUUCUCCGAUGUAGAUUUUUCAUGCAGAGGAGACAUAGAAAUAGAGUCAGAGGAUGCUAAACACAUAAAAGUAGAAUCAUGUGCAAUAAGUGCCGUGGCAUUAACGUCCUCAUCACUUGAGGAUGACUCGUCAGAAGAAGAAUCAUCCCAAGUAAUGGUUUGCAUCGCUUUCUUUUUCAAAGACUUUUUAUUUGGACAAUCCGAUGCAAUAUGACCAAAUCCCCUACACUUAUAGCAUUGGAUUUGACCUUCACUACUUUUCUUUUUUUUUUGUAGAGUUUUUUUGAAAGUUUUUCGAUUUUUUAAACUUUGAAGAAGAAGAGGAACUCCCUUUUGAUUUGUUUGGCUUGGAGGAAGUUGACUUGGAAGGAAACUUCUUUCUAAAGUUCCGACGGAACUUCUUCAUCAAAAGAGCCAUUUGCUUCUCAAACUCUUCCAAAGUUACGUCUGAGUCCGAAUCCGAUGAAGAAGAUUCCACGUUGCCUCCUUUCGUUGAUUUUAGUACCAUACCUGAAGCUUUAGAAGAUAACUUGGAAGAAAAUGAAUUAGAAGGAAAAGUCAUCUCAUAAGUUUGAAGUGCACCAACUAAUUCUUCUACUUUUAAUUCAUCCGAAUGUUUUACCGUUUCUAUGGCUGCAACCUUAGGACGAAAUCGUUCGGGAAGGGUUCUCACAAUUUUUCUAACAAUUUUAGAGUCCGAAAUUUUCUCUCCGAAAUUAGCACAUGUGUUGAUAAUAUCUUGCAAACGAGUAUAAUACUCGGUAAAGGUUUCAUAUUUUUCCAUACGAAUAGAAUCAAAUCUACUAGUCAACAUUUGUAAUUUUUGAACCUUUACUAAGCUUGUACCCUCAUGUGUAAUUUAUAAAGUGUCCCAAAUCUCUUUGGCGGUUUCACACGUCGAGACACGAGAAAAUUCGGUUUGAUUCAAGGCAUUAAAUAAAGCAUUGAUACCCUUUCCGUUGAACGAAGAAAGUUCAUUUUCGUCUUUCGUCCAUUUAUUUCUAGGUUUGGGACCGCUAACAUUAUCGACCACUUCGGUAGGAUGUUUCUAUCCGAAUUCAAUAGAUUGCCAAACCCGCUGGUCAAUGGCAAUAAGAAACGCUCUCAUACGAACCUUCCAAUAAGCGUAAUUAGUGCCAUCGAAGAGAGGGGGUCGAUUAAUGUCCGCCCUCGGCCAUAGUUUACAACCUAUACCCGCUCUGAUACCACUUGUGAGAUAUGGAUCCCAAGGAUCUAAAAGGUAAAAGACACCUAGAGGGAGGUGAAUAGGUGUUAACGACAAAAAUAAAUAAACUCGAUGCAAACUAAAUGAGAAUGCGGAAAAUAAAAUCAACACACCGAGAUUUUAACGUGGGAAAACUCCAAUCCGGAGAGAAAAACUGUAAUACACUGGACUUUCACAAAUUGCAGAGUUCGAGUGUGUGGAAUGAAGUGUGGAACUAUUCUACACGUUCUAAAUGACCUGGACAAGUUUUUGAACAAGUUAGAGCGGGAUUGGAGGGUUAAAAGUGAGAAAUUGCAUCAAACAGGCGAAAUCAAUUUUUUUUGCUUGUUGUACCGGUACAGCUAUUACCUUGUACCGGUACAGACUGGCAGAAAUCUGGCAGUAAGGCUAAUUUGGUCAUUUCACAUUUUGAUCCUUAUCUAUUAGACCCCAGCUCGACCAGGGAGGUUCAGAUAUGCAUGUUUGAGCUCAGAGAAGUGCUCUCCCUUCUCUCUCUCUCUCUCUCUCUCUAGGGUUUCUCUCUCUCUACGAAGAAAUCGUCGAUUUUGCUCGUUUUCGUCGCCGCGCUUGUUCUUCGCUGUUUGCGAGCAUCGCAGAGCUUACGUGGACGUGUGAGAGAGUAUUUUGGAAGGCUUUUCGCAGCCCUGAACCAGGAGGUCACUGGUGGGAAGUCUAAGAAGGUAAUCGGCUCAACUUUUCCGUUAUCGACGUUCUAUUAGUCGCUUUGAGUAUGGAUUUCGAGUUUAUGCUUCUAGCUGUAUUCUUCUGAGGUUUCAGCAAGUAUAAAUGAGUUAUUUAGCUGCGGCUUAACCUCCUUAAAUCUGGGAUAAGCUACUUUGAAGCUCAGUAGAGUUAAGUAGGUCAUUUUGAAGCGAUUUCGGCACCUUAUGCGACUUGUUAAUGCAGUUUUGUAUGUUGUUUUCGCAGCAGGUUUUCGAAUCUAAUUGAAUGUAAUUAGUGACCUUGGGGAUUAGUGUGGAAGGUGUUUUAACCCGAGGAAAGCAAGAAUUUCAGGUAGAAACUGAAAUUUUAAGAUUCCGACGUGUGUGUAUUGAUCUUUGACGAUUUUGACGCCGUGUUGAUGUUGCUCGCAGCGAUAGCGCUUUUGACCUUGGGAUCAUCUUCUGUUGGCAUUGGAGUGUCAUUAGGGGCUUAACUUGAGGUAUAUACUUAGCCCAAAAAUAGGGAAUUAAGUUUCCACCUUGUACUUAUUACGAAUUUUGCCGAAAUUGGAGUUUUGAGUAAUCGUCACGGCGCGGUUUUAUUAUUUUGUUUUCAGCAGGAUUGCAGCCUUGUUGAGUUACAUAUUGGGAUUUCUUGUGACUGAUUGGAGCUUCAUAAUAGGUGGGUCGGACCUAACCAGAACAAGUGGAACUCCCCUAUGUUCUAUAUGUAUUAUAGAAUCAAUGUUGUCGUGGGCUUUUGUGUAUUCGAUAUAAAACUUGAGACGAGUCGCUAUACUUUAGAAUAAUUGAAUUACAAUCUCUUUAUUAUGUUCCUAGAACUAGAAAACAAUGACAUGCUUGUAGAGAACAGUGACACUCUCCUGACUGCUCUAAAGUAGAGAACAAGAACAUGCUGGAUGCCUAUGUUAGUCUUAUAUGUUACUAGUGGAUACUAGCUAUUGUUCAUAUGCUUGAUCUUUUUAUACUGAAAUUCCGAUCAAAGGAUCGAGGGUAAGAACAUUACAAAUGAAAACAUGAUAAUUGAGACAUGUGGACUGUAAAAUAUGCUUGCUUGCCAUCGUGCUCAUUCGCACACGCUUGUGAGGGUCGCUCCCUACAAGCCGGCACUCCGGAGUUGGCCUACGCGACAGUUGCUCGCCCGUGCGGGAUUGGGUGCCGAAGUGGAUUGCCGUGGGGAGUGUAUACUACCACGGGGCCAUUAGGCGCGGCGCAAGCUGGACUACCUUGGGUAGGUCCCUGUGAAUGAAAAGAAAGUGCUAAAGGACAUUAGACAGUAAUGAAUGAUCACCAGUCAUUGUGUAUAGUUUCUGCUUACACAUUCAUAUUUAUGUUCAUGCUUUCAGUAGCUGCUAUGCUUUUAUUGUUCUAUUCAUUACUGUAGAAAGCUAUUACAUGUUGUUUACAUGCUUAUUAAUUGCUUAGCCUUGGAAAGAUAUCCUGCAAUUACAUGCUCAUUACUUGUUAACAUCAUGCAAUUAUUGCUUUUACUUUCCAUUGAGUACAUUGAGCCUAGUGGUGUAAUUCGCCGAGGCUGGCGGCUUACCCACUGGGAACUAUUGUUAAUAGUUCUCACGCCCUUUUGGUGGUUGUUUUUACAGAGCCAUCUACAGGAGAGGCUAGGGAUCGUGGCAAGGGAGUCGCGUCUAGCUAGACUGUGCUAGGAGCGUGCUAGUCGAUCACCUUGCUACUCGGGCUACGGCCGAGGGUGAUGUCCAUUGUAUAGAGUGGCUACCAUUGUACAGAUGUUUUUGUGUACCCUGUAUUGUAUAUGAGUUGUAGAUCCAGAUGUUAUAGUUCAUACUUCUUCUCCUUUUGCUGAGAUUUUGGAUUGUAUACUCUUUGUUCUUUUACUGAUAGUAUAUCGACUUGUACACUGCUCUGAUAUCAGGAUAGGACUCUCUUUGUUGUGCUUCCUAGCUACUUGCUUUCUUCGUAGACGCCUUAUAUACUGCAGGUGUAUGGCGGGUCUGUGCACGUACCGGAUAUGCUUCCGCUGGUACCCGGGCGUGACAAAAACCCACGGGACCGAUCACACAAAGAAAUUCACUAAGAAAACUUGAGUACAAGUGAUUUACCGAAAAUACACGACUCAAUUUACCGAAUCCUCAUUGUAGAUUGUCUUCGCCGGUCCUCGAUCGAUCAAAGUCCUUCGAUCGAUCCUGCCGCAAAUCCUCGCAGCGUCAACGCCUCGACUCCUCGAUGCGUCCACCGAAUCCUCGGCCUCACACGCGAUCCACGCGCAUUCGCUCCAUCCGAAGCUCGUUGAGAUCAACAAUUUGUGGUGAUUGAAACACUUAGAAAGCACAUAUGAUAUGAGGAGAAACCCUAAUUAGUUCAUCACCGAUCUAAUCCUUAAAGAACCAUUGAAAUUAGAAUCGAAGAAUUGAAUCAGUGAUCAAAACUAAAAACUUGAUUUUCAAAACAUUGAUCGAAAAACUCUAACACAAGCUCUUAGGGUUUCAAAAAGAUUUUCUCUCUAAGCACUACACAUAUGGUACUCCUCAUAUCAUAUUUAUAGGAUUAGAAGACUUCUGGAUUGACUAGGAUUUCAAAAACACAAUUUUAAAAACUGACGACGGUCUUAGGGUCUGGACUUCCCGAGGGUCCGGACCUUGACAGUCCGGAUCGUGAAGCUACAGACCCUCUCCGCGUAUCAAAAAAUAUAUGGUACAGGAUUCGGAUCCUAACCAGAGGGUCCGGACCCUCGCUGCGUGACAAGAUUAUCCGGCUACGGGAUUCGGAUCCUAACCAGAGGGUCCGGACCCUUGCUGCGUACACGCAGAGAGGACCUACGGGGUCCGGAUCCUCCUUAGGGUCCGGAUCCUUAAACUUGAAAAACUCAGAGUUUUUCCAGUUUUAUAUUUAAAAACCAAUCCUAAGUCUUCUAAACACUUUUACUCAAGUAUAAUUUCACCACAAACUAUUAGUCUACAUACUUGAGUAGACGAGCAUCACGAACGAGUCUUUGGCUCACCAGUCUUGUAAUCUUAGCUUCAAUUCUUCAUCUUCAACUCUUCAAGACUCCAUUCGACUUCACAAAAUCCGCCAACUUAGAAAAAUCCUUAACACGUGGUACACCAGGAGUUGGCAAUAAAGCGCCUGAAGGUCAAGAGCAUUUAGGCGGGAACGGUUGAGAAGUGGGGCGUAGCUUCCAUGAGAAGUGGGGCGUAACUUCCAUGAUCAUGGCUACACCACUUCCCCCACUACUAUAACCAACCAAUAAUGUGAGCUGAUAAGAUAUUAUAAAUAGUAACUUUAAAGCCUAUAAUAGGGGUCUUUCUCUCCUCUGAACGAGAAGACCACCGCAUUUUCAAUACUUUCCUUUCCUGCAUUUAUCGUUUUCUAGGAGUAGUCUACAUGUAAUCUUUUUUAUCCGCAUUUAUUACUUUCCUAGGAGUAGUUUUUAAGUUAGAUCUCUGGAGUCUGUAUGCCCUACGAGCAUACUUUGUUGUAAUCUAGAUUUUCAGAGCUUGUAUGCCCUUCGGGCACACUCUAUUUUGUAUGAGUUCCCAACUUCAUUUUAAUAUGUAAAGGCAUUCGGCUCUUUCAGCCGACCAGUCACUGUAUUCCAUCUAUUCGACUCAUCAGCCGACCCAAAACCUUGUGCAUUCUGUACAUUCGGUUCUUCCAGCUGAACCGAGUCUAUAGUAAAGGUCUUCGAACUCGUCUGAUCCGAUCCCUCAUCAGCCGAAUCGCUUGAUCCAGUCGAAGGGCGCAAACUUCAAGGGUCACUAAUCAUAGCCGUUCCGCAUUCCGACGCGCUUCCCGAGGAAGAACUUUGAUCGGGUCAAAGAGAAGGGAAUUCGGCUCCUAACACCCUCUUUCAAAAUAUGUAAAAAGUACAUCCAUUAAAUAUCUUCAAAAAUACAACUGACAAGUUAUUAUUACAGCUAACUUUCUCUUAAGAAACAAAAUUCUCAUCUAACAUAUAAAUAAAAAACAUCAAAUAACAAAACAAGAAGAAAGAAUGUAAUACUCCUUAAAUAGUGUCAGUAUCCUCUCAAAUAAUGCAACAGUUUCUUCCAAGUCGUGCAAUAUUUGUGCAAAUAGUGCAACAUAUGUAUCAUUUAUACACAUAUUACAUUAGGGUCCAGACCCUGAGUGCAAGGUCCUGACCCCGUACAUGAAAAUUCGCAAAGUUAGCCAAACACUGUUGUGGGAGGGGGCUAGGUGCAAUUGUGCCAUGUGAGAGUGUUUAUUAGUGGGUGCCUUAUGGUUUAGCCCUCAUUUCCUUUUACAUUACCACAAAAGAGAAAGCUCUUUCUCUCUCUCCCUUUCUCUCAUUUUCUCUAGGGUUUGAUCUAAAAGAGGGUUUUGGUGGAGAAGAAGCUUGCUUAAGGGUGAAGUUAACUCUUGUGCAAGGGGUUUGAGGAGAAAAAGCUCGAACUUAAGGUGAGAUUUGUGAUAUGAGUUAGGGUUUGGUUAUUUACUUCUAGUUGUUACUUCUAGAGGAUAUGAUGGUAGGUUUAUCCAUGAUUCUCCAUGAAUUUGGAGGUUAUUUAGUAAAGAUGGAAACCCUAGGGUUGGAUUUAGGGUUUUGUAAAUUAUAGAAUCUAAUUAGGGUUUGAUCUCUUGUAGCCCUAAUUGGCGGAUAAACUGGCGCGUAGGAAGACUCGGUUUGGGAUUCCGACAAGUCUACAUCAUGAUAUUGGGGAAAAACCCCAUUUCGGCUUCGUUUGCCGUGGGUUGGGGAAAUUGGCGACCAUAAAUUUCGAGACUUGAGUUGCGGCUUUUCGGCAUUCUUAUGAGGCGGGGGGUGCUAUCCGAAAUCAUCGAAUUUCUCAUUAUGUCUAUGUUGCCUUUCUUGAGCAUAUAUGUAUAUUGUGUUAUUCAUGCAUUGUAGGGUAUUGGGAUAUGUGAUAUGGUUGAGAAAUCUCUUGUAUGUUUAGUGUAAAAGGAACAUAUGAAUUGAUAAUGGACCAUGAAUCUAGAGACCCUAUACAUGUGUGAAUUGGAAUGUUCGACUAUGACAUAGUAAACAAAGGCGACAUCGACAUUAGUGGAUAUGAUUAGCAUAUGAAAACUUAGCAUGCUAGACAAGGUAUGAGCAUUGUGGCAAGUGUGGCCAAGUAUCCUCAAAGUUGAGGAUUGGAUUAUACUCACAGUUGGCCUAUAUGCUUGAGGGCGGUAGCUCCCGCUCAAGUGGUGUGCUCCGGAGUUGUCACCAUCUGGGUUGUAGCGGAAUUCUCCCCAGUAGACGGUCCCGUCGGGUUGUAGCGGUAUUCUCCCCGACAGUAUGGGAUUUGGUUGGUGAGUUGAGGUUAACCAUGAGCUAACCAUGUGGAUUGGGUAAUGGCAAAGUUAACAUGGCAUGCAUGCAUUAUGAUUAUGAUUAUAUCACUUGAUGAUUCUAUUCUUGUUCAGGCAUUGUAGUAGCAUUAGUUUGGUUUGUUAUCUAUUUAUCAUUUUCCUACAUAUGCCUGAGUAGAUGUCAUGCCCCGGGACCUAGCGGAAGCCCGCCCGGCGCGUGCCCAAACCCGCCAUAUGUCUCAAACAUAUAAGGCGUCUAAAACAAAACGAUAAUUAAGGCAAGAAAAGAGAGAACAUCUAGCUAUAUCAGAGCAAAAUGUAUCUAUGAACUAUAAUAAAAGAAAUGAACAUAAAGCCGAAAGUCCACUAGAUAAAAGCAUGAAGUAGUACAAGAAGAAUCCUAUAUACAAAUGCUAAACAUAAAAACAUGGGUGGUCUCUAUACAUGGUAACAAAACUCUCUCUCUCACAAAAAUCAAAAAGAAGAGAGUGACCACCUAGAAACAACAGCAAGUUCCGCUAUCUAGCUAUGCGACUCCCUUGCCGCGAUCCCGUGCCUCCGCCGGUGCCGAAGGCUCUAAAAUAAAAUUAUAAAACAGAGGGCGUGAGAACUAUUGAAUAAUAGUUUCCAGUGGGCAAUUACUGGCUUCAGUGAAAUGCACCACUAGGCCCAAACUAAAAAGAGAUCAGUAAGCAGAUAUAAACAAAAGCGAUAUGUGCGACAAGUAAAUAAGUAUGAAUAUUUACUACCACAUGAUAUCUCUACUUAGCAUGAGUUAGCAUAAGUAAGAAAAGCUAUUCUCGUAUGAAUGUACCCAAGCAUCGCUAGUAUGAUGUCCAUAAGUCAAAUAGUAAAGAUGUCAUCGUUUACUAUUCUAAUCAAUGUCCACAUCGCAUGAUGAAUGCUCCAAAUCAAAUCUGAAGAGACCCGCCCGAAGACUGUCUGGCCCUGAGACCCACCCGUAGGCUGUCUGGCCGGUGCCGAGCCUAAUGACCCCGUGGUAGUCAACAUCUCCACUCUAGGAAUGAGCCUAACCCACGGCAAUCCACUUUGGCGCCCAAUCCCGCACGGCGAAUAUGUAUCGCGAUGGCUAUUUCCGGAGUGCCGGCUUGUAGGGAGCGACCCUCACAAGCAUGUGCGAAUAAGCACAAUGGCAAGUAGCGCAAGAUCCGUCUCAAGUACCAAGUUCUCAUGUCUAAAAACAUGGAAUAUAUAUAUCGAAUGUCCCAAAGGCCUAUCUCUAUGUCAUCAUGUCUCUAACGUGGAAUAUAGCAGAUGUUCAAUGGCCUAUCACUAUGUAUCUAUGUUGCAAUUUCACACUUUACUAUGUCAAGUGCCCCUUUAUAGCAUUUUUGUCCACUAAGUCCAAACAUGAGUUUAUGGCUAGCAAAUGCAUAAUUUGAGCAAUUUCUAACAUAAGAGAUAUGUUUCCAAAUCAUUAACACGAACACUUCUCACAUGCAUGAAAUUUACCCAUAACGCUCUACUAUAUAGAGUGAAAUUUUCAUGAUACAUAAGGCAUGCAUUUUAAGUGUUCUAAAAUUCAUAUAAAUCCUAUCUAGUAUGGAUUUGCAUUCAAAAAGACGUUACGACAAGUAUAACAAGCGUAGGGGCCAUUUUGCCCCGUUCUCAUAAAGCCAAACCCACCACAACUCUUGCGCUCCUUCGUUUGUUCCGACGAAAGUGUCCACUAGCCUCACAGCACCCUAAAGAUGUAGGAACAAGAGUUAAACGAACCUUACGAACAACCAUAAGGUUGAUUAUUAACCAUCUCAAGCUAAGGUGGAGAAAAACUCACCGAAUGCAAAUGAAGCUCUCUUGAUCUCCAAAUGGGAGUUAGAGCCAUUCAAAUCCAACCUAAACAAGGGUUCAAAACCAAUCAAUUGGGUCCCAAAGCCCUCAAAUCGAAAAUCCCCAAAAUAAACCCUAAAAUCCAAAUCUAGGAUUUUAUCUAGUUUAAAGCUCCAAAACUAAGAUCUAGAGGAAGAAAACUAGCCACUUACCUCUAGGAUGCUCCAAACCAAGCUCCAAGUGCUCAAGGGUUGAAGAUUGAUCCUCCACAAGCUCCAAGCAUAAGCUCCAAACCACAAAUGGGAAGAAAAGAGGGAGAGGGUGAAGCUCCAAGUGCUCUACAAGCUCAACUUCUUCUUCCUUCUUUUCCUUCUCCUUCUUCUUCUCCUUCUCUCUCUAAGGUGCAAGGAAGAGUGUGAAAUAAAGGAGGGAGAGAGGUGAAAUGGCCAUAUAGGCCAUCUAUUGUAACAAAAUCCAGAAAAGCCCCUCAACUUUGCAACUAUUGUACUGCCCCAACGGGGUCGGGAACCGAUCUCUCCCUGCAUGGGACCGGUUGCCUCGCUGACCGCCGCAACACUGUUCCGAUGGGACCGGUCUCUCCUACCAGGGACCGGUCCCCGAGAGUGAAAACUCUCAAGACUAAGCCAAAAUUUCAGAAUUCGAACUUUUUAGGUCGGAACACUUUCUACGACCCUCUACCAAGCGUGGAAAAGCUCGGAACACAUCCAAUCACUCGGACCUCGCAAUUUGCACAGGUCCAGUGUGCUACAGUAGACCUAGUGGGCGACUCGGCGGGGUCGACGGCCGAACCCACUGGAAACUUUCAGUAAUUCUCAUACCACCACUAACCCUGCAGAUUCUAGCGUGAGCGGGGCGGUCGAGGAUCGAGGCAAGGGCAUCGCGCCAUAGGUAGCGGCUUCCUGGGUUUAGUUUUGUACCCUAUAUAUAUCAUAUUUUGUUUAUGAUGAGAUAGUGGUUAUGUAUAAAUGUUGUAAAUUCAUGUAUUUUGGUGGCAUAUGUCAUGUAUUUGGAAAGGAAAAGAAUGUAAUAUGUAAAGCUUGUAUUCGGUUUAAAGUAAUCAAACUACAUGUAUGGUGUAAUAAUUGUAGUACUUUCACUUGUUGAUGAUUUUGUACCUUGUAUAUAUCAUCUUUUGUUUAUGAUGAGUAAGUGGUUAUGUAUAAAUGUUGUAAAUCCAUGUAUUUUGGUGGCAUAUGUCAUGUAUUUGGAAAGGAAAAGAAUGUAAUAUGUAAAGCUUGUAUUCGGUUUAAAGUAAUCAAACUACAUGUAUGGUGUAAUAGUUGUAGUACUUUCACUUGUUGAUGGUUACUUGCCCUCGUGCAAGUUAUGUAUAUCUAGACUUCUGCUUGAGCAAAACUUGUUAUACAUGUUGUUGUUGGUGAAGCCUUGGGCAGACAGGGGAGGUUUUGUCCGUUCAAAAGCGUCUAUUAGUGUACCCGAACCGACCAAAUUGGCGGUCGUGGGGCGUGACAGUUAGUGGUAAAGUAGUGGUGCCGCGCCUAGCAAUCGCCAAUUUGGUCGGUUCGGGUACGCCAAACAGACGCCGAAUGGACAGAACCUCCUCUGUCCGCCUAAGGCUCAACAACAUCAAUCAUGUAUAUUUAAUUGCCCAAGCAAACAUAGUCAACAUAUAUAAAUCAUGCGAGUAUAACACAAGCAAGAGCAAGAGAGAAAUACUAGCUAUUACAUUCACAUUCAACCAUUUACAUCAUUUGGUUUACAUGUUCAUCUCAUAAUACAUAUACAACUCUCCAAAAGUAACCUCACUCAAUAUACAUCAUAUCUCUCAAUAGGUACAUGGUACUCUAAUGCAAAAAGGAGGCUACUAACUAGGGCGCUAUGCCCUUACCACGAUCCUCGCCCGGUCCGCUCGAGCUAGGCCUUGCAAAAGAGUGGAAUGAGAACUAACAAAAGUUUCCAGUGGGUUCGGCCGCCGACUCUGCCGAUUUUUCCACUAAGUCUAAGCAGGCAUAAGUAGAGAUAUAAUAUGGUAAUGAAAUAUACUAAUAUAGUAAUGAAAUCUACUGUCAUACUAUUAUGCCUCAACAACAUGAUGAAUAAAGAUAUGAACAUAGCAAUGAAUUCUACUAACAUGUCACUAUGUCUCAACAUCAUGAUAUGAAUGAAAGAUCCACUAUGCUCAUGAUGCAUGGCAUUCAUAUACUUGUCACCCAAUCAUCUUGGCUAACCCUAAGGUUAAGCUCGAACUAACAACCAAAUCUCAUAGGUGAGGAGUGAAAGAUAUGGAUCCCGAGGAUCUAAAGGGUAAGUAACACCUAGAGGGGGGUGAAUAGGUGUAAAAACGGCAAACUCGAAAAUCUCGAUGCAAAUAAAACAAAGUAGCGGAAAAUAAAACAACACACCGAGAAUUUAACGUGGGAAAACUCCAAUUCGGAGUGAAAAACCCACGGGACCGAUCACACGAAGAAAAUCCACUAAGAAAACUUGAGUACAAGUGAUUUUGACAAAAAUACACGACUCAAUUUACCGAUUUCUUGUUGAUGGUGAUCUUCGCCGGUCCUCGAUCGAUAAGAAUCCACCAAUCGACCUUGCUGCAACUCCUCGCAGCGUCAACGCCUCAACUCCUCGAAGUGUCCACCGAAUCCUCGGCUUCACGCGAGAUCCACGCGCCGAACCUCCUUCCGGAGCUUGUAGAAUCGAAGAUUUGUGGUGAUUUAAUCUUUGAAUACCAUAAGCUAUGAGGGUUCGUCUUCUAAUCAAAUAUCAACUUGAUUCUCAAAGAAGAUCUUGAGUAAAAUCGAAGAAGCACGUCGAUUGUUGAUUUUUCCGAAACUUGUUAUGUGAUAGAAUCAUCGAAACGGAAAAACAAGUUUCUAGGGUUUAGAAUCAGUAAAUAUUCAAAGCCUUAAACUUUAAGACAACCCACAUAGCUUAUUUAUAUGUUUAGAAGCCUUAAAAGUAGACUAGGAUUGCAAAAAGUCCUUUUUAAAAACCUGUGUCAUCCUCAGAGACCGGUCUUCUCGAGGAGACCGGUUUGUGAGAGACCGGUCUCUCAAGUGAGGAAUUGGUCCCUCACUGCGUGACCAAAAUCACAACGUUUGGGAACCGGUCUCUAAAGCUUGAGACCGGUCCCUCGCCGCGCGACAGAAAUACCAAGAUUCGAGAACCGGUCUCUCAUCUCAGGGGACCGGUUGCAUCAAAGCUCACGCAGUGAGGACCUUAGGGGAACCAGUCUCUUGAACUCAGGGACCGGUCCCUGAACACAGAAAAGUUCAGUAAAAUAUUUUUAAAGCAAUCUAAGCCUUCUGAACUUAUUUUAAUUAAGUAUCUUCACCACAAAUGAUCUUUUCCUUAUACCUUAGGUGCCGAACUUUACGAGUGAGUCUUUGUUCUUCAAUUUAGAUCUUUUCUUCAAUCUUCCGCAAUCAACUCUUCAAGACUCCAUUCAACAUUACGAAAUCCGCCAACCUAUAAAAUCUUUAACAAGGAGACUCUGCGCUACGCACACCCGAAACCGUCUGCUGGGUAAGUACGUUAACCCAUCGUGUGACAGCUCUGGAGCUCACUGCUUGGGUGGAGCGACCACCGCCAAACUAGAACAGACUAAGUGAGUAUGAUCCAAUUCUCUCAACUUGAAGAUACCCUACCAACUAGGAAAAACAACAACUUAGAAAACUAUCUAUUCCAAUGUUCAUGUCUACGUGUCAUCACUACACUAGUUUCACAUACCAUAUAUCCACAACUAGGGAAACCAUCUAUCCCUAUGUUCAUGUUUAAGUGUCACCACUAUACUAGUUUCACAUGCUACUCGUUUAUGUCAUUACAUAGUUCAAGUUCACCACUUGUUUUCAGCACUAUAGGAUUCAUGUCAAGACCUAAUCCUCAUGCAUCCACUAGAUCAUGUGUCCAACUCACAAUGCUAUUUCUAGCAUGGAAGCAUGCAAGGAAUUGAAAUAUAUCUAUCACAUAUCCUACAAUGCAUAAUAACAACAUAUAACAUAUAUGCUCAACAAUAACAACUUAGACAUAAAAAGAAAUCCGUUUGCUUCGGAUAGCACUCCCCACUUCUGGGUGAUGCCGAGAUGCGAGAACCCAAAUCUCGCAAUUUAUGGACGACGAUUCGGCUCAACCCAAUGCAAACGAACCGAAAAGUGUACUUUUCUUCAACGAUUCGUCGGACGUUCGUAGGAACUUCGAUUUGAGUUGCACACCGUGUCGAUUUUACCUUCAAUUAGGUUUACAUAGGCUUAAUUUAGAUCAAACCCAACUAUGAUCAAAAGCCCUCAUGUGAAACCCUAAAAAUCCAACUAUUGCAAGAAUACACAUAACCAAUGAUUCAUGCAAUAAUCUAGCUUAGGAUUACCUAGGGUUCCAAUACAACCCAAUCAUAAGGGAUUAUAUAAAACCCUAACAUAAUAACCUCAACUACUCAUAAGGCUCACCUCAAGCUCAAGCUUCUCUCCAAGCUAAGGAUGAAGAAGAUGGUGGCUUGACCUCCAAGCAACUUCUCUCCAAGCAAUCUCCACCUCUUGGAGCUAACCCUAGGAGAGAGAGAGGGUUUAAAGAGAGAAAGAGACUCCUCUUUGGUUGAGAGUUAUGAGGGAAAUGAGAGAAAUAGGUUUAGAACCCAUCCUUAUACUCUUAUAUUGCAUAUUUACACUUGGCCCCUCACACAACUCAAGUUCAGCACAAACCACCAUUUUCACGCGUACGCCGGACCCUGAGAGUAUUUUCACUACGAAAAUUUCUGAAAAUUUCCUACAUUGCUCUCCAAGGUCCCACAUACCCGUAUGAACCAUUCCCAACAUUUGGAAUGUUCAACGGACCCUUCCGAAGCGCCAAAUACCACACUUUGGUCAAUUUCGAUCGAAGUUCAAUUUUACGCGUUGAGGAUUCAUUAUCUUACAAGUGGCAUUGUAGCUGAAGAGUUCAUUCCAUCUUACUUUACUGUUUAUUUAUCUACGAGCUAUGUUGCUAGUCACAUGGACUUAGUGGGUAGGCUGUUUAGGUUGGUGACAGAACCCACUGAGGACUACUUUGCUUCGUAGUAGUUCUCACACCCUCUAUUAUCUUUCUUUCUUGUAGAGCCUUUGGUUGUCGCAGCUGUUUCUGAUCAAGGUAAGGGAGUCGUGAGCUAGAUCCCUGUCUACCCCAAUCAUCACGCUAGAGGAGCACCCCUUUGGGAGAUAGUUGCUUUUGUAGCCAUGUACGUACAGUGGUGUUUAUAUGUAUAGACAAAAAUGAUGUUGUACCUUUAAUGUUUCAUAUACAGUGAUGCAUUUUGGAAACUUGUAUGUACAAUUGGCUUUAUAUAUGCAUUUCAGUUUUAACAGCUCUGCUAUUCUCUUGUAGUUGUACUUACAUGUUUGUAGAUUCCACUAUCGCUUUGUAUACAAGGAAAACUAUUGGGUAUACGGCAGGUCUGUUGGCGAGCCCGGGAAAGAUGGAAUCUGGGCCGUGACACCUCAAAACCAACUCCUCUUGGUGCAAUUCUCCUCCCCAGCCCGCAGCCUUGUUGGAGCCGCUGCAGACAUUAUUGGAUGCAGGAUUGGAGCUGAGUCGCUCAGUCGAUCCUCGUGCUAUGACGAUCAGCAACUGUAGGUAGAGCACGACAUCCCUAGGGCUCCCUUCCUAGCUUGACUUAUGUCUAAUUAACUCGGAAGACUGCGCUGGGGCUAAACAAGCGAGCCGAGCUCCAACUCGCCUUCAAAACAUUGUUUUUGGCCCCGUUUAUCUUCAACAAUUAGCGGAGGCUGCGGAGGCUAUUGUAGCACACUGAACUUUAGCAAAUUGCAAGGUUCAAGUGUUUGAUUAGUGUUCUGAUCUUUUCUGAAAUUUUUGGAGGGUCGUUGACUGUGUUUCGACCUAUUACUCGCGUCUCGAGAAGCGAGGAUGAGUACUUUGCACCAAAACCUCUAAACUGUAGGUUUUGGGUUGCUCUCGGAUUGAGCUCUGCGAGGCAGAGUACCGAUAUUGCAUUGCCCGAGUACCAGUACUGGACUUGGUACCAGUACGGCAUCACGAGGGUACCGGUACCCUGUAUAUUUUCUCGCUUAACCGAGGCUCGGGUUUACGCGCUCUGCUGCGUGGUACCGAUACUCCAGCCCGCGUACCGGUACGUAGUGCAGAUACAGUCUGCAUGUUGUUGAGAGGUCUUUUUGAGAUUGUUACAACUCUAUAUAUCUCCCCACAACCCCAUGAGAGCUCUUUUGAGCCCUAAACCGUGGAGAGUGAGGUAAGAGCUUCCCUCUCUUGAUUUUCUCCCUUUUUCUUGUGAUUUAGCUUAGUUUGAUCUCCUCCUUUUGCUUCUCUUUGUUUUAUAUUGGUUUUCCCACCUUGGAGAAGCCUUGGAUUGAGGAUUGGAGCUUGUUUGAGAAUAGAACUUCAACCCUAGCACCUUUCUAGUUAGGUUUGGAGCUUCAAGAGAGGUUAGUAACUUUGAUCUUCUCUUUAAAUCAUGUUUUUAUGGAUUUUUGUGAAUAAAACCUAGAUAUGUGAUAUUAGGGUUUUUUUUUAGGGUUUUUGAUUUGUAGCCUUUGGGGCUAAAUUGAUAGGUAUAGAACCUUCUUCUACAUUGGAAUAUAAGUGCUCUAGCUCUCAUUUGGAAUUUGGAAGGGUUUUCUACCAUUCAAGAUAAAUUUUGACCUCUUUAUGGGUUUGUUAAAGUUGUGUUUGUGGGGUGUUCGUUCGUUGCCCCUAACCCUCUUAGAAUUUUCAUUAGGGAGCUAGGAGACUAGUGGGCAUCCUCGUUCGUGCAAAGAAAGGGGAUACGAGGAGUUCUCAGUGGGUUUGACCUCACCGAAAUGUGAACUCCCCCCAAUGUUAUCUUUUAUAUUUUAAAAAUAAAAAAUCAUGCAUAUUCAUACUAGAUAGAGUAUAAUAAAAUUUUAGAAUGCUUAAAAUAUAUAUGACAUGUAUCAUGUUGUAUUACCCCUAUGUAGUAGGGAGAGAUUGCAUAGUAAGUUGCAUGUGAAAUGAUAUUCUCAUGAUAUGUUAGAAAUCUAUUAUAUUUAGUGAUAUGACAAGCUUUUACUUACUUAUGAACAAUGGACAUGUGUUAAACAUAGAAAACAACAAUGUCAUAAAGAGGCAUUUGACUUAGUAAACAGCUAAACUUUCACUCUAUGACAUAGAACUAGACCUUUAGGUUGCUAGUAUUUAUGCCAUGUUUGAGACAUGACGACCGUGUACUUGAGAUGAUGAUCAUGUUUGUUUGCCAUUUCUGCUCAUUCGCACAUACUUGUGAGGGUCGCUCCCGACACGUCCCGCUAUCGCCAAUUUUGUUGAUUCGGGCCAGUACACAGACGCCGAACGGACAGCACCUCCCUUGUCCACCCAAGGCUCAACAACAACGAGUACAUGUAUAAAGAAAUAAACAAUUCCCAGUAUAACAUUUCAAUAUACAUGGCUUGCACGAUGGCAAGCAACAAGAACAAGUAAAAUUAAACUUAACUAAACAUGCAUUCACUGUACUUUUGAAACACUUUAAUCCAAACUGUAAAGCUGAAUAACUAUAACAUUUAGCUAUUUACAUCAUUUACAUGCUUAUCUAUACAUCCUUUUACAUGUUUCUUUAACAUCAAAUAGAUUCAACAUGAAACCAAAAUGGGUAUAUAACUAUACUCUGGAGUCCACUAGCUAAGAUGCCGGGCUCUUGCCACAAUCCUCGGCCGCUCCGCUCGCGCUGGGAUCUGCAUGAUUAGUGGUGUGAGAACUACUAAAAGUUUCCAGUGGGUUCGGCCGCCGACUUCGCCGACUCACCCACUAGGUCUAUUAAGGCAUAUGUAGAUACGAAAAGAGAAUAGAUAGUAACCAGCUAUAACAUGUAACUACUACAAUGCCCGUACAAAGCUGAAGGAAAUAGUAGAUAACAUAUGAAAUUGAUGCAUGCAUGCUAUUAAUAAUCAUUACCUAAUCAAACUGGUUAACCAUUUGGUAAACAAUAACUCACCAACCAAAUCCCUAGUAUCGGGGAGACGUAAGCUACAUCCCGACGGGACCGUCUACAGGGGAGACGCUAGCUCCUAAUCCAGUUGAUGACCACUCCGGAGCUCAUCGCCCAAGGAGGAGCAAUCUUCCUCGAGCAUUAGACUAAUGUGAGUAUGAUCUGAUCCUCGUUUAGAGGGUCCAAUGAAUGACAAUGCCACACUUUAACUCUAACUAGCUUUUUAUGCUAGGUUUACAAUUCCAAUCUCGAUGCUACCUAAUUCUCUAGUCAUGAUGUCACCAAAAUUUACUAUUGUCAUAGUCCACAAUAAGUUCACACAUUCAUAGGGUUCUAUGUCCUCAUUCUAUUGUGCACACAUUCUCUACAUUGACAGGAAUUCAAUUGUUCAGUUAUUAACUGCAUAAUGACAAUUUUCCUAUAAUGCAUGAAUAUGAUAGAAUUUAUAUAUAGAUAUGCUCAACAAGGCGACAUAGACAUAAAGAGAGAUUCGAAGAUUUCGGAUAGCACCACCUACCUCGUAGGGAUGCCGAAAGACUAGAACUAACGUCUUGGGAUGUAUAAACAACUAGCUCUCGCGGCUCGAUGCAAACGAAGCUAGAACGAAGCGUUUCUUAAUUAGCACGUCGUAGGUCUGUCGAAAUAUCAAUUUAAGCUUCCGAGCACGCCGAACCUUCCUUCAUUGAGGAAUAAAAGAGAUUAAAUUAAUGUUAUAACAUCAUCUUUACAAUUUCUACAUUUCCCCCAAUUCACAUACUUAACCCAAUUUGCUUACAUAUUACUAUUAUAGCUUCGUUCUUUUUUAAAUUCCAAUGAUAACUCAAGUGUUAGUGAUCUAGAAUUUACAAACUAAAUCUUAAUUCCUGGUUACUUAUAAUUAUUCCAAAUCAAGAAUUACAAAUAACCUAUUCAAGUUAGUCAUUUCACAUACAUGUAUACUACUCAAUACAUAUUAUAGAGCUUAUUCCUUAGGUUUCAUAACAAGUAGAACUCUAGCAAUCUUAUAAUUCAACUUCUUUACACAGUAAUUAGAAUCAUUCUAAUUCAGAAUUUAGGAUCACUUUAGCUCAGGUUUCAUUCUUAACCAUUCUCAAGCAUACUAUAUACUUAUAUACAUUUACACAUAUGCUGCCAGCAUCAAUUUUGCUAAGUUUUUCAUAGUUUUAGGGGUUCCAAUAUCCAAUUCUGCAGCUUAGACCUCUUUAGAAGGUAAAUACCCAACCCUUAAACCAGGAAACAACCUAACUUCCCACCAAUUUCAGUUUAACUUAGCAACUCACAUGAAUACUAUACAUAUAGUUAUAUUUUGCUAUAUUCCAAUGACGUACAUUAGGAGCUUUAGAAACUAAGAAGUUCACAUCUCUACCCUUUAAAGAGUAACCAACAUGAACUUUAACAAGAAUCAGCAACUCUUACCUCUAGUUGAUGCUUUACAAACCAAUUUUCCUGCUCAAACUUCUUCUUCUCAGCUCUAAUCAUCAAAAACUGCACUUCCCCACUUUCUUCUUCACAUAACCAACACCUAGGGUUGUAGAGAGAGAGAGAGAAAGAAACAAAAUAAAAAGAGAAGGGGAGUUGAUUCCCUGUUCACAGCAGCUGGGGGAAGUAGCUCAGCUACAGAUAAGAUCAAAACAAGUGCAACUAAACCCCUCCACAAGCUGGAAUUUGUAAUUUUUACAAAACAGUCCCUGCUGUUUACAAAACAGUCCCUGCACUAAACAGCAGCUGGCAGCAGUAGCAGUUUUCAGCAGCAGCAAUAGCAAUAGCAGCAGCUGCUGCAACGAGCAGUAACAGUAGCAUUCAGCAGUAGCAAGUGCACUUAAAUUCCAAACAAAAACAGGAAUUCUGCUUUUACAAGUUAGUCUCUACAGCCUUACAAAACAGUCACUGCUACUUUUAGUGAAAAAUCUGCACUAGCACACCUAUUUCCAAGGUGAUUUCACACUUCUACUUAGCUUCAAAUACUUCCAAAUACCUACAAAACAUACUAAUAACCAUCCCAAGCUACUAAUUUAGUUCGGGAUUAAACCAAAUUACAUUUUGGCAUUAUCUUGAUCAAUUUGAUCAAGAUUAGCAAUGUGAUCAAAAUUCGAUGUAUUACACCGACACUCCGGAGUUAGCCUACACAACAUAUGCUCGCUCGUGCGAGAUUGGGUGCCUACUGGGUCGGCGUGAGAUAGGCUCAAUCCUAGAGUGGGAAUGUUGGAUUACCACGGGUAAUUAGGCGGCACAAGUCGGACUACACUUGUGUAGGCCCUUAAUUGAGAUUGAAAAAUGACAUGUAAAAAAAUAAGUGACAAUUACUACUUGAUAGUAGGUAUUGGUUGGACAUAUCAGUAUACUUGUCACACCCCGGGAUCGAUACCAAUUUGGGCCGGCCCGGGCACGUUAAACAGAUGCUGAACGAACAGAAUUUUUCCUGUCCGCCCAAGGCUCAUCACCUGUACAUUUUUAAGUAGAGAAAAGUACUAGCAGAAACAUACACAACGGCUUACACGAGGGUAAGCAAUAGCCAUGAGUGAAAGAAAGAAAGCUAACUACUACAUAAGUACUAUGAUUCAAUUUGAUCAUAUACAUUUCAUUCAAUUUAUACAUUCUUUGCAUCAUCUCUUUUACAUCACAUUAGCUUAAAAUGAAACAUUACAUUCUUUUCUCUCAUUUGCUUUAUACAUAAAUAUCUUCAAAUACAAAAGAAGGUACAUGGUAGGCUACUAACAAAAUGUAAACCCGACUCAGGUAGUCACUGUCUAUGGCGCGAUACCUUUACCGCGGUCGCUCGCCGGCUCGCUCGGUCCUGGCUCUGUAGAAAUAGUGGGGUGAAAACUAUAACGAAGUUCCCAGUGGGUUCGGUCCCAAUCUCACCGACUUUCCCACUAGGCCUAUCUCAGGCAUAAUAGAAAGGAUAAGCUGAAAGGUAGUAACCAAACUAUACACAUGAUACUAAUAUGCCUGAACAAUAUAGCAAUAAGGAUGCUUAAUAUAAAACCCAUGCAAUAUGCAAGUUCUUUAUUCUUUAUUCUUUGAUCUUUGUUCUUUCGUUCAAUCUCACGGCUAACCCGGGGGUAUCGCCUCAGUAACUCACCAACUCAAAAUCCAUGAUCGCGGGCCCUCAGCUGUAACGCACUGGACCUUUGUAAAUUACGAGGUUCGAGUGUUUGGUUGUAUUUCGAGCUUUUCCACACUUGGUGGAGGGUUGUAGAAUGUUUUCCGACCUAAAAAGUUCGAAAACUAGAAUUCUGGACGAGUCCUGAGAGUUUUUACUCUCGGAGACCGGUCCCUGAAAGGAGAGAUCGGUCCCCCAGUGAGCAGUGUUGCGGCAGCCUUGAGGCAACCGGUCCCUGGCAGGCGAGACCGGUCCCCGAGCGCGCCUACGCAGUGAGAGACCGGUCCCGCGCAGGGAGAGACCGGUUCCCGAACGUUGGUUUUUCGGGUUCGCAGCGAGAGACCGGUCCCUGCUGGGGAGAGACCGGUCCCUCUGGGCGAAAACUGCCCAGACCGGGCUGAUGUAAUAUUGGAUUUUUGAGGGGCCUCACUGGAUUUUGUUACACUAGAUGGGCUUAUUAGCUAUUUCCCUCUCUUUCCUCUCUCAUUCCCUCAUUCUCACCCUCUCCCUACACCUUCUAGGGAGAGAAGAAGAAGAAGAGGAGCUUGGUUAAGGGAGCUUGGAGCUCAACCCCUUUCUCCCUUUUUACCUUUGCAAGGCUUGGAGCUUGCUUGUAGAGCGUGGUGGUGGACCAAUCUUCAACCCUAGAAGAUUUGGAGCUUGUUUGGAGGCAUCUUGGGAGGUUAGUAUUUGGAUUCUACCCUUUGAUCCUUAAUUUGGUAGGUUUUACCAUAUGGAACCCUAGAAUGGGUGUUAGGGUUGAUUUUUGGUUCUUUUUGAUCUAGGGCUUUUGAGGCUAGAUUGAUUGGAUUUGAACCUUCCUUGGGCUUGGAUUGGAAGGGAUUUAGCUCUCUUUUGGAACUUGAGAGAGAUUUCCCACACAUUAGGUGAGUUUUAGCCCUUUUGCCAAGUUUGUUAAAGUUUGAUCUUAUAGUUGAUCGUAAUGCCCAUGUAUCUCUUCGCUCAAUACUUUUAGGAUAUUUUGAGACUCGUGGACAACUUCGUUCGGCGAAACGAGGCCCUACGCAACGGUUCGGUGGGUUUGACCUAGCCUGGCAUAUGAGCAAUUCUCAUAUCUCAUAUUUUAUGCUUGUAGAGUAAAAAAUCAUGCAUUUCUAUGAUAAAUGUAUUUAUUGUGAAUUUUGGGAUGCUUAACAUGCCUAUAAUAUGUGUAAGAAAUUUUGGGCCCCAAUAUACUAGAGGGCUACCGUGUGAGACUUGUAUAUGAAGGGCACCCUAUUGAGACUUGGAAUCAUAAUUCCUAUUGUGAAAAUGAGCAUUACCUUCAUGCAUUUUAAGCUAUUCUUACUUGAGACUUAAGGGAUCUUAGUAAGCCAUAAAGAGGUAUAUAACAAGAUCGACAUGUAAGAUUGUGAGCUAAUAUCAUAAAGCGGCAUUGAGCUCGGUUGUGUGUGAACCUAGUGGAUAGGGCCAUUGAGAGAAUUGGAACAUGUUUGUACAUCGAAAUGUCUAAGUGUCAUAAAGGGGCACUAGACCCGGUGAAUGAUUGGAGCUUCUCAUUAUGACAUAGAACUAGAUCGUUGGAUGCUAGUGGCUAAAACCAUGCUAGAGACAUGAUGAUUUGGUACUUGGGACGAUGAUCACGCUUGCUUGCCAUUUGUGCUCAUUCGCACAUGCUUGUGAGGGUCGCUCCCUACAAGCCGGUACUCCGGAGUUAGCCUACGCAACUUACGUUCGCUCGUGCGGUAUUGAGAGGCCAACGAGGUCGAGUGGGACAGACACAUUCUAAGAGUAGGGAUGUUGGGCUACCACAAGCACUUAGGCGGCACAAGCUGGACUACCUUUGGUAAGUCCUUAAAUUGGAAAUGAAAAUCGACACAUGGUUGAGAAUGAAUAAUCACUACUAGAUAGGAUUAGUAGUUGGAUUACUAUGACAUGCUUAUAGCAUAGUGUUGAGACAGGUAGUAUACUUGAUAGUCCUAUUUAUUGCAUCAUAGUAUACUCAUUACCAUGAUAGAGCAUAUUCUUCGUACAUUGUCAUAGUAGAUCAUGUUACCUACUUGCUCGCUAUGUUGGGAUAUAGUAUUCGUGCUUGGACAUACUUCAUUUGAAUAUAGUAGAUGUACAACCAUUUGACAUCUUGCUUAUGUGCAACAUAGUAGUUUAGCAUUUUAUUUUGCUUUCUUAAAUGCAAACCGUUUCUUUUUAUUAUUAUUCUCAUUAUUGCUUAUAGUACUUACCCGUUCCUUUUGGGGCCUAGUGGUGCACUGAGCUGAGGUCAGUAAUUGCCCACUGGGAACUAUAAAUUAUAGUUCUCACGCCCUCUGUUUUAUGUUUUCUUUCAGAGCCUUCCACGCCGGGAGAGGCUAGGGACUGCGGGAAGGGCGUGGCUUCGAGCUAGCUCUUCUGCGAGAGACGCGUCGCUAGGUGGUCCACCUCUCGAUGUUUUAUUUUGGAGAGGUUGAGAGCUGUACCAGUGUACUAGAGACCACCCUUUUUGUGUACCUUUGAGACAGAUAUUGUACUACUUUAUAGCUACUUUUAUUGUCUAGUUAUGUUUCUUUUACUUUGGUUUAGAUGAUAGAACUUUACUCGCUCUGAUAUCAUUAGUUGCUAUUUAUUCUAUUUGUUCUAUUUCUUGCUUUAACUUCCGCUUUUAUUGUAGACGCCUUAUAUGUAUAGACAUAUGGCUAGUCUGGGCACGCUACCGGGAGGGCCUCCGCCGGUCCCGGGUUGUGACAUCAGCUUCCUCCCGCUAGGACUGUCCUCUGAGUAACUUAACCCAGUGAUGACAAACUCCGGAGCGCAUCGCCCGAGGGGGAGCGACCACCCUCAAACAAGGACUUAUAGUGAGUAUGAUUAAUCUUUAGCUCUAAGAAUAUUCAGUUCAAUCUGUUCCUUAACUCUAAGGAAUUAUGCACAGAUGACCCUUAGUUCUAAGGUUGUAUGUCAUCGUGUCUCAAUUUCAUGUUCUAUGUAUUCUUUACUUUGACCAUGUCACUAUACUAACUCUAAUGUUCUUUGCAUUCUUUACUUUCAUCAUGUCUUUACACUAACUCUAGUGUUCUUUAUGCCACACAUUUAAUGCUAUCUUUAGCCAUUGUUCUUUAUGCCACAUUUUGUUGCUAACUCUAGCUUUUAUCAUUCUUUAUGCUACAUUUGUUCUCUUUGAUGCCACACAUUUGCUAACUCUAGUUUUUAUCAUCCUUUAUGCCACAUUUGUUCUCUUUGAUGCCACACAUUAACUCUAGUGUUCUAUAUAUCAUACAUCAUGCUAACUUUAGCUUUCAUUCUCAACAUGACAUUGUCCUCAUGUCAUAUGUCACGUGUUCUUUAACUUUACUAAAUUCUUAUCUCUUUUUACAUGCACAUAUAGGAUUAUUACUUUCUCAUUGAUUCUCAACCAUCUCAUGAUGCACUUGAACUCACAAAAUGCAAACAUUCACAUAUUUAAAAUCUCAUUACCCUACUAUGCAUGCAAUAAUAUACUCAUGGAUGCUCAAGAAGUGACACAUUAGACAUAAAGGAAAUUCUAACAAGUUUGGAGGCACCACCCACCUUGUAGGCUUACUUAGGUGCUACGGUGAUUUUCUUGAGAUUUUUAGACUCCUAGUUCGUCACCUGCGGCAAAACGAAGCCAAAUUAGGCUUUUUUGCUCAUAACUUUAUAUAGACUUUUCGUAACGUCAAUCCGAGCGCACCAACGCGUCGGAAAUACCCCCAAUUAGAUUUCUAUAGGGUCAAUUUCACUUUGGAACCUUCACAAGCAAAAGCCCCAAAUUUGGGUGCCUUAGCUUCACAUAUACCAAAUCUAGGGUUUUGAUCUCUUAAAGAAGCAAAAGAAAGCUUCAAAUACUUUAAAGGUUCCAUCAAAAUCAUUUCUAGAUCAAUCAAAACCCAUUCUAGGGUUUCACCAUGAGAGGGGUAGAAGCUUACCUCAAAGUUUCACCAUAUACACCCAAUCCAUGGUUUUGAUCUCAUCCACAAGCAAAAGAAAGCUUGAAAUACCCAAAAGGCUCUACUAAAACCAUUCAUAGGUUCUUUAGUUCUCAUCUUAGGGCUUUACUAUGAAAGGGAUCAAAGCUUACCUCAAAGCUUUCCUUUCCCUCCUCCAAAGAGGUAGAAGAAGGAGUUGCUCCACUCCUUGGUCUUUCUCCACCUUUUUUUUCUUUUUCUUCUCUUUCUUUGUCUUCUUCUCCUUGUCUUCUAGUGAGAGAAAGAGAGAAGAGUGUGGAUGUGAGAGGGAGAGAAUGAGAGAAAAGAGCUCUCAUAGCCCUCUACAUAACCCAUGCGUUGCAUUUUUUGCAAAUAAACCCCUCAGCUUUUAUUUUCUUGAACUGCCAGAACUGGGCAGUUUUCGUACUCGGGGACCGGUCUCCCCGACCUGGGACCGGUUCCCGUAGCUCCUCCUACGGGCAGCCAAGGCCCCAGCACAAUGCAACCGGUCUCUCCCAGAGGGACCGGUCUCUCGGGGACCGAUCUCUCCUUCAGGGACCGGUUCCCAAGAGCAGGUUCUCUGGGACUUAGCCAAUUUUUUCCUUUUCUCAUUUUUCAUGCGUACGGGGACCGGUCUCUCCUUUAGGGACCGGUCCCCGAGAGCUCAAAACCUGCAGAAUGCAGAUUUUUUAUUCUUAUGCUCUCGAAAAUCUUCCACAAUGCACUUUUACUCAUUUUAGCACCUUCGGUCAUUCCGAAGUGUACCAACCUCUCACUUUGGUCAAUUUGACUAAAGUUCGAUAUUUAUUUUCUGAAUUUUCGGUAUAUUACAAUACUUGUUGGACAUGCUUGUUGCAUAUUAGUAUACUUGUUAGAUAUGCUCGUUGCAUAUUAGUGUACUUGUUGGACAUAUUUAAAGCAUAUGACUAUACUCAUUGGAUGUACUCAUUUAUGAUAGAAUAGUAGUCACUUGAUGAAUAUCAUGCUAAAUUUGAGGUAUAGUAGCUUAGUAAAAAGUAUACUUGUUAAAUUUACUUGUUGUCUAAUUCAGUUUCCUUUUACUACUUUUCCCUCUAUAACCUAGUUGUGUAUUUCGCUAAUGUUUGCGGCUUACCCACUGGAAACUAUUGAUUAAUAGUUCUGUCACGCCCUGGACUUUAGCGGAAGCUCACCAGUCACGUGCACAGGCCCAUCGUGUACACCUCAACCUCAAGUGUACACCAGGCGUCUACAAAUCAAUAUAGCAAAAAGGAUAAUGUCAUGACCAGGUAAUCAGAGCAAAACGAAAAGUUCAUAAACUUAUACAACACAAAACCUUAUUACAACUUAAAAGAAAAGUUCAAAGUACAUUCUACAUAGUUCUAAUAUACAACACUGAACUAAACUAGAAAAGCUGAUAUGGUUCCAUCUGUUUAACAUCGAGGAGGCUCUAGCUAUCCGCUGACCCCUUGCCGGAACUCUAGCCUUUCCCGCUGUGGAAGGCUCUGCAUAAAACAAUCAACAAAAGGGCGUGAGAACUAUUAAACAAUAGUUCCCAGUGGGUAAGCCGCCGAGAGUGGCGAAGUACACCACUAGGUCAACUGAGGCAUGAGUAAACUAUAACAAGUAACACAGUAACUGCCAUAAGUAAAUAAAGUAAUUCAAUUACAACAUGCCUCAACAAGAUUAGUUUUCUAACAUGUCUUAUAUGUGAUUCGUCAUGUAUACAAGUUCUGUAAGUCAUGCCAAUUAUCAAUUUAAUCAUCUAUAUGUCAUGAUGAAUAUCAACAUUAUACUUAAACUAACUAAUGGCAAGUUAUGUCUCUACACUAAUAAGAGUGUAAAUAUACACAUGUCAUUACUAUGCUAUUGACUAGCAAGGAUAUCAAUCUCCUAGAAUGUUCACUGCUAGGUAUAUCCAACUAACGACAUAAAGUAACUUUACUGUUAAGUCCAUCUAAGGUUAAGGCCCUUAACAUUAACCCAAUUAACAAGAGACUUACACAUGGUAAAGUCCCAGCCCCGUCGUGCCUAAUGGCCUCGCAGAAGUUAACACUACCCGCAGCAAUCCACUUCGGCGCUCAAUUUCGUACAUAAGCAAGCAAUCUGUCGCUAGGCAAACUCCGGAGUGCCGGCUUAUGGGGCGCGACCCUCACAAGCAUGUGUGAAUGAGCACAAUGGCAUGCAAGCAUAAUCCAUAGCAUAACUAUCAUAAUUUCAUCAUGUCUCUAAUAUGGAAUCUCAACUCGACACCUAGUCGACUCUCAACACUAAGUCAGAAUACACUAUCAACUACUUGGUGAUAUAUUUCUACCAAUAGAUGGUAUGGCUUAAACAAAUACAUGCUUUACAUCAUAAUGAUGAUUCUAUCAGGCUAUCCCCGCAUACUCACACAUAGUCCUCUCACUACUUCUUAUACAUAAGGAAAGUGGUUUACUAAGGUCAUAUCCCAUUACUCAUGGCACAUAUUCUAUAGUUCUACAUACCUCUACUACUUGGGGUAAACAAAUAAUAUGCAAUUCUUCUACUUAACUAUACAAGUAUAUCAUCAUGUCCAAUUCUAGUUAUUUACUAGAUUACAAUCAAUAGUAUAACAUUCAAGUUAUGUCAUAAUGCCAAAUUUUAGUUACUUACCUAGAUCAUACCUAAUAACAUGAGGUUCAGGCUAGUUCUAUCAUGUGAAAGUGAGAACCAACUGGUUAACAUAAGUACGCAAAAUAUCCUAUAAAAUACUCUUCACAUGAUCAUAUAUAAUUCAUUCUACACUAUGAAUAUAUACUUAUGUAACUUCAUUCUACAUGAUAUGCUCGAAGUUCAGACAUCAUGUUUAUAACGUGGAAUUGCACGAUUUAACUAGGAGGUUAAGAACCAUUAUACCCCGUUCACUUAGUUAUACAUCCAACUAAGUGCCAUAUUCAUGGCUUUAUCUCAAUGCAUUAAUAAGUGAUGCUCUCUCUCUCUCUAACUUAUCUACACAAGUAUAUUAAUAUCAUGUAAUACAUGCUAAACUAGCAAGUAAUCUCUAGAUGCGAAGUAAUUUCAUAAUUCACCCCUACUACAUAGAGGUUUUCUUUUAUCCGAUAUAUUAUGCAGAUUUAUACAUGCCCAAUCUCUUCAAAUAUACAUAUAUUCACAUGAAUAUGCAACCAUUCCACUUUUAUAAUGUCAAGAAGACAUAGAGGGAAUUCACCAAUUUCGGGAAAGUCCGAUCCACCUAAUUGUUGUCGAUUCUCGUCGAUCCCACAAUGAAGGUAAUCCGAAGCUUCCAAGUACCCUGACCAACAUUCUAAAAUCAGCUAGGAACUCAACCAAGUUUCCACAUAAUAAAUCCACAUAGUACAUAAUCUAGGUUAGAAUCUCACCUAGAAUAAAUCCAACUUGGAUUCCACUUCAAUUCUGAUUGGAGUACAUCAAAAUUACCCUUCUGAAGCUCACAAAUUCCAGCUAAAGGGAUUCAACAACCCGCUGCGAAUUCUGCUGUGAACAUGCCCUAUAACUCCAUUAAUACUCUACCAACACAUCCAAAUCAGCAAAAGGUUAAGUUGCUCACCUUGCAUAGCUCCAACUCAGGUUGAAGCACACCAACAUCGAUCUACAAGGAUCUCCUAAACCAUGUCAAAGUGGUUCAAAACCCUGCUGUGAGCUAACCUCAACAGCUUAUCAAUACACCUACUAUACAUGAAACUAGAGAGAGGAGUUACUAAUUCACCUUCCCAACGCUUCAACUCAGCUUCGACUGAGUUAGGAGUGACGAACCACAGCUAAAAUAUCUCUUCUACAGCUGCUACAAACCUCUCCACAUCAGCUAGCAGCAAAGAAGCAAAGAACAUGCUCAACUUCACUAUUAUAAACAUUCUAGCAUUAAACUAGAGAGAAAUUGCCUUAUUUACCUCACAAGGCUUCAACUCAAUUUCUAGCUGAGUUAGGACUGCGAAACACAGCAAAACCACUCUUCCUUCGUUCCAAAAGCUGGCCCCCAAAUCUUCAAAUCAGCUAGCAACAAGAGAGGGAAAGGAAACUAACUCAAAUCCAACCAUAUCCUCUAUACAUAGGGUAAUAAGUAGAGAUUAACCUUCUAACCUCUAAUCAAACUCACCCCCGGCUAGGUUAGAGUAUAAUCCUCAACAAGGCCUCCUUCCUCACGUUCUCAUAUCCUCAAGGAGCUCCCAACCAGCAACCAUAAGAAGGAAAAGAGAGAAAACCUCAAAUCCAUCAAUUUCCACUCAUACAUGGAAAGAAAAUCUAAAGAGAGAAAAAGAUGAGCUCUUACCCUUAUCCUCAGCUCCAGUAGGAUAAGAAUGAGCUAAGGGGUCGACCAGGGGCUUAAGAAGAUAAGCUUUGAAGCCAAAUUACCAAUAAACCCUUCAAUCCACGCAGCUGUUGUGCUGGGUACCGGUACUCGGGCAGGGUGGUACCGGUACUCAGUGCAAAUUCCAGAAUUUCGCCGCUUUAAUGCACUUUUGCUCUUCUGGCCAUUUAAUCACUCAAGUAACUUGCCGAAAACCUCUCGACAACCCUUAGAAAGAUGUAGGAUAUCUCCAAUUGCUAUUCCAACACUCGAACUUCGCAAUUUUGCCAAAGUUCAGUGUACUACAAGUUCUCACGCCCUUUGUGUUGUUGUUUUUAUUUACAGAGCCUUCCACUCCGGGAGAGGCUAGGGACAGUGGCAAGGGUGUUGCCCCUAGCUAGACAGAUUGGUGAUUGGACUAGGUGGUCAUCUCUCUUUUGGUUUUAGUUAUGGAGAGAUAUUUUUGUACCCAAUGUAUAGAGACCACCAUUUUUGUAUCUAGUACCUUGUAUUUGGAUUUUGGGAUGUAUUUACUAUAUGAUUUAUGCUAGUUGUUUAGCUCUUUAUAUUCCACUUGUCAUUAGAAAUUAGUUGUUGUAUGCUCUGAUAUCGCACUAGAUGUUUUAUUUUUUCUUGUUUCUUUAUACUAUUGUUGUAGACGCCUUAUAUUUUGUAGGCAUAUGGCGGGUCUGGACACGCACCGGGCGGGCUUCUGCUGAGUCCCGAGGCAUGACAGCUGUCACUGUCACGCCCCGGGACCGGCGGAGGCCCUCCCGGUAGCGUGCCGAGACCCGCCAUAUGUCUACACAUAUAAGGCGUCUACAAUAAAAGCGGAAGUAAAAGCAAGAGAUAGAACAAAUAUAAGAAAUGAAAUAACUAGCAACUAGUGAUAUCAGAGCAAGUAAAGUUCUAUCAUCUACACCAAAGUAAAGAAAUAAAGCUAGUUAAACAAAGAUAACCAUAAGUAGUACAAUAACUGUCUCUAGUACAAAAAUGGUGGUCUCUAUACAUAUACGGGUACAACUCUCAACCUCUCACAAAAAGAAAACACGAGAGGUAGACCACCUAUCGAACGAUCCCUCGGUAAGCGCGCUAGCCCGAGGCGAUACCCUUUCCGCGAUCCCUGGCCUCUCCCUGCGUGGAAGGCUCUGAAAAACAUCGAGAAAAAGAGGGCGUGAGAACUAUAAUUUAUAGUUCCCAGUGGGCAAUUACUGACCUCAGCUCAGUGCACCACUAGGCCCCAAAGAAAAGGGUAAGUCUAACAAUAAGAGUAACGAGUAAAUUGCAUAUUAGAAAGCAUAAUAAUUAGGAUGCUAAGCUACAACUUGCAAUUAAACAUGGCAUUCCUAAUGCGACUUUAUCUUGUCAUGGAUAUAUAUGUUCACAAGUAAUAUCAUGCUUUACUUUAUACAGAUAUGAAAGUAAUACUUGGUCAUGACUACAAUGCAUAUAAGGAUGCAAUAAACAACAUCUCCUAGCAUACUACAUGUAUGUAUGAAUACCCAAAUGUCCACAACUAUGCUAGAAGUAAGUCCAAGUAAUCCUACUACUACUCUCUGACUAGUAGUGAUCAUAAUAAACUCAACACCGUGUCGAUUUCCAUUUCCAAUUAAGGACCUACCAAAGGUAGUCCAGCUUGUGCCGCCUAAGUGCCUGUGGUAGCCCAACAUCCCUACUCUUGGGAUGUGUCUGUCCCACUCGACCCCGUAGGCUUCUCAAUACCGCACGAGCGAACAUAGGUCGCGUAGGCUAACUCCGGAGUGCCGGCUUGUAGGGAGCGACCCUCACAAGCAUGUGCGAAUGAGCACAAAUGGCAAACAAGCAAGGUCACUGUCUCAAAUACUCUAUCCGCAUGUCUCUAACAUGGCAAGGUCACUAGCAUCCCAAGGAUCUAGCCCAAUGUCUCUAAGUGAUGUCCCAACACUCACUUGCUUAGUGCCUCUUUAUGACACUUAAGCAUCACACUGAUCAAGCUCAAUUCUUGUUCUAUGUUUCAUUUAAACAUUAAUACUAAUGACUACUAUAGCCCGGGCCCAAUGCCUCUUUAUGACAUUGGCCCAAUUCUCAAAUAGUCCAAGUUCUCAAGCCCUCUCUAGGCUUCUAAAAUUCCUAAUGUCCCAAUUGGCAUAUAGGUUAAAUGCAAGAGAGCAAGAUCCGUUUUCAUAAUAGGGAUCAUGGUUCCCAAUCAUAACUAGAAUGCUAAGUCUCACAUGCAUGCACUCUACCACAUAGGGGUCUAAAAUUUCACUAUACAUAAUAUAUGCAUGUUAAGCAUUCUAAAAUUCAUAUUAAAUACAUUUAACAAGGAAAUGCAUGAAUUUCUAUUUUACGAAACAUAUUUUGCCAAAUAUGAGCAUUCCUGAUAUCAUAGGCUAGGUCAAACCCAGCGAAACGUCGCGUGCUCCUUCGAUUCGCCGAACGGAGUUGUCCACGAGCCUCAAAGUACCCUAAAAGUGAUCAGCGAAGAGAUACGAGGGCAUUACGACCAACCAUAAGAUCAAACAUUAACCUAGAAGCAAAAAGGGCCAAAACUCACCUCAAGAGAAGAAAUCUCUUCCAAAGCUCCAAAAGAGAGCUAGAACCCUUCCAAUCCAAGCCCAAGGAAGGUUCUAAACCAAUUAAUCUAGCCUCAAAAGCCCUAGAUCAAAAAGCCCCAAAAUCAACCCUAAAUCUCAUUUCUAGGGUUCCAAUACAAUAAAACCUCAAAUCCAAGGUCUAAAGGGAGGGAAUGAGUAACAAACCUCCUUAGAAGCUCCAAUCCAAGCUCCAAGGGUGAAGAUCUCCCCCUUUGCAAGCCCCAAGUCCAAGCCUUCAAGCACCAAGGAAGAUGAGAGGGUGAGGAAGAUGCUCCAAGUCCACUAGAAGCUCCAAACUUCUUCUCCUUCCCUCCUUCCUCUCCUUCUCCUUCUUCUUCUUCUUCUCUAUCAAGGGUGUAGAGAGGGUUGAGAGAAGAGAAAUGGGGAGAGGAGAGAGUGGAGGGGUCAUAUAGACCCUCUAUUGCAACAAAAUCCCAAGAGGCCCCCCAAAAAUCUAAUAUUACCACAGCCCGGUCUGGGCAGUUUUCGCCCAGAGGGACCGGUCUCUCCCCAGCAGGGACCGGUCUCUCGCUGCGAACCCGAAAAAAACCAGCGUUCGGGAACCGGUCUCUCCCUGCACGAGACCGGUCUCUCACUGCGUAGACGCGCUCGGGGACCGGUCUCGCCCGCCAGGGACCGAUUGCCUCAGGGCUGCCGCAACACUGUUCACUGGGGGACCGGUCUCUCCUUUCAGGGACCAGGGACCGGUCCCCGAGAGUAAAAACUCUCAGGACUUGUCCAGAAUUCCAGUUUUCGAACUUUUUAGGUCGGAAUACAUUCUACAACCCUCCACCAAGUGUGGAAAAGCUCGAAAUACAUCCAAACACUCGAACCUCGCAAUUUGCAAAGGUCCAGUAUGUUACAGUCACGCCCCCGACCGCACGACCCAAAAACGGUACCUAUUUGGUCCGAUUCGAGGGCGACGGGCGUGAGGCUGAACGGACAGAGUCUCCUCUAUCCGCCCAAGGCUAACCAACAAGAUUGUGUACAACAAGUCCCCAGGAAAAUAACUUGAUUACAUACACAAUCGAAUAACGAUAAUACAAACAGUGUUAAAACCAUCAAGAGCAAGCGAUACUAGUAAAAGCAUACAAGUAUACAAAAGAGAGAAACUUAACUAUUUGAACCAUGAAAUUUAAAGUAUUAAAUACAACUUCAUUUAAACCUUUCAUACAUGUAGUUCAACCUUUUCCAAAAUGUAAAUAUAUCAAGUACUCUCCAAAACCUCACCCUAUACAACAUCUACUCUCAAAAUAUAAAGAC
rnacentral:lncRNA from 1 species